rnacentral:rRNA from 1 species
GCCUAAAGCGUCCGUAGCCUGUUCUAUAAGUUUCCGGUUAAAUCCACUAGCUCAACUAGUGGGCUGCCGAAAAUACUGUAGAACUAGGGAGUGGGAGAGGUAGGCGGUAUUCGGUAGGAAGGGGUAAAAUCCUUUGAUCUAUCGAGGACCACCUGUGGCGAAGGCGGUCUACCAGAACACGUUCGACGGUGAGGGAUGAAAGCUGGGGGAGCAAACCGGAUUAGAUACCCGGGUAGUCCCAGCCGUAAACGAUGCAGACUCGGUGAUGCCCUGGCUUGUGGCCAGUGCAGUGCCGCAGGGAAGCCGUUAAGUUUGCCGCCUGGGAAGUACGUACGCAAGUAUGAAACUUAAAGGAAUUGGCGGGGGAGCACCACAAGGGGUGAAGCCUGCGGUUCAAUUGGAGUCAACGCCAGAAAUCUUACCCGAAGAGACAGCAGAAUGAAGGUCAAGCUGGAGACUUUACCAGACAAGCUGAGAAGUGGUGCAUGGCCGUCGCCAGCUCGUGCCGUGAGAUGUCCUGUUAAGUCAGGUAACGAGCGAGAUCCCUGCCUCUAGUUGCCACCAUUACUCUCAGGAGUAGUGGGGCGAAUUAGCGGGACCGCCGCAGUUAAUGCGGAGGAAGGAAGGGGCCACGGCAGGUCAGUAUGCCCCGAA